CGAAGAGGUCACACCCGUUCCCAUGCCGAACACGGAAGUUAAGCUCUUCAGCGCCGAUGGUAGUCGGGGGUUUCCUCCUGUGAGAGUAGGAC
rnacentral:rRNA from 1 species